AGGAAUAGUCAACUUUGGUACUUGUGGUUGGGUGUUCACACCAAGCAACGUGUGACAUAAAGAAGUGUUCUCUUCCUGACACGCCAGCAGAAGAUAAAUGAUCCCCCUGAUAAUAAUAGUUCUGGUGGACACAUCAGAGCUGUUUUCUUCAACAUACACAAUACUGCAGGAAAAGUAUUCCCACAUGCAACAAGUAAACAACAGAAGGUUAUGCACAGAAACAGAGACAC